UACGUAGGGGGCAAGCGUUGUCCGGAAUCAUUGGGCGUAAAGAGCGUGUAGGCGGCCUGGUAAGUCCGCUGUGAAAGUCCAGGGCUCAACCCUGGAAUGCCGGUGGAAACUGUCAGGCUCGAGUCCGGAAGAGGCGAGUGGAAUUCCUGGUGUAGCGGUGAAAUGCUUAGAUAUGAUGUAGAACACCGAUUGCGAAGGCAGCUCACUAAGCCAACAUUGACGCUGAGGCACGAAGCGUGGGUAGCGAACAGGA
rnacentral:rRNA from 1 species